rnacentral:rRNA from 1 species
AUUGAACGCUGGCGGCAGGCCUAACACAUGCAAGUCGAGCGAGCGGCGGACGGGUGAGUAAUGUAUGGGGACUGCCCGAUAGAGGGGGAUAACUAAUGGAAACGGUAGAUAAUACCGCAUACUAUCGGAUAACCCAUAUGGGAGUAGCUAGUUGGUGUGGUAAUAGCGCACGUAGGCGACGAUCCCUAGCUGGUCUGAGAGGAUGAUCAGCCGCACUGGUACGGAGACACUGCGCAGACGACUACGGAGGCAGCAGUGGGGAAUAUUGCACAAUGGGCGCAAUCCUGCUGCAGCCAUGGCGCGUGUAUGAAGAAGGCCUUCGGGUUGUAAAGUACUUUCAGUCGGGAGGCGUUACCGACAGAAGAAGCACCGGCUAACUCCGUGCCAGCAGCCGCGGUAAUAC